rnacentral:rRNA from 1 species
AUUGAACGCUGGCGGCAUGCCUUACACAUGCAAGUCGAACGGUAACAGGUCUUCGGAUGCUGACGAGUGGCGAACGGGUGAGUAAUACAUCGGAACGUGCCCGAUCGUGGGGGAUAACGAAGCGAAAGCUUUGCUAAUACCGCAUAAGAUCUACGGAUGAAAGCAGGGGACCGCAAGGCCUUGCGCGAACGGAGCGGCCGAUGGCAGAUUAGGUAGUUGGUGGGAUAAAAGCUUACCAAGCCGACGAUCU